UACGUAGGGGGCAAGCGUUGUCCGGAAUCAUUGGGCGUAAAGAGCGUGUAGGCGGUUCGGUAAGUCGGCUGUGAAAGUCCAGGGCUCAACCCUGGGAUGCCGGUCGAUACUGCCGGACUAGAGUUCGGAAGAGGCGAGUGGGAAUUCCCGGUGUAGCGGUGAAAUGCGUAGAUAUCUGGAGGAACACCGGUGGCGAAGGCGGCAUCCUGGACCGGCAUUGACGCUGAGGCGCGAAAGCCAGGGG
rnacentral:rRNA from 1 species